GGAGAUAGAGCUUAGUGGUAGAGCAUCUGCUUAGUAUGCAUAAAGCCCUGGGUUUGACUCUCAGCAUCACCC
rfam:Ictidomys tridecemlineatus contig000315, whole genome shotgun sequence.